rnacentral:rRNA from 1 species
GACGAACGCUGGCGGCGUGCUUAACACAUGCAAGUCGAACGGAAAGUCCCUGCUUUUGUGGGGUGCUCGAGUUGCGACCGGGGGAGUAACACGUAAGUAACGUGUCCUUGACUUUGGGAUAACUUCAUGAAACUGGGGCUAAUACCGGAUAGGAGCUCCCGCUGCAGGGUGGGGGUUGGAAAGUUUCGGCGGUUGGGGAUGGACACGCGGCUUAUCAGCUUGUUGGUGGGGUAGUGGCUUACCAAGGAUUUGACGGGUAGCUGGCCGGUGUGGGUGACCGACCACAUUGGGUCGGAGUUACGGCCCGGCCUGCUACCGGAGGCAGGAAUGGGGAAUGAUGCAUAAAGGGCGGAAGACAGAUGCAGCAACGCAGCGUGCGUGAGGACGGCAGUCGGGUGGGUAGCAGCUUUCGCCUGCCACGAAGCGUAAGUGAAGGUACUGGGGAAAGAAGCACCGGCUAACUACGU